AACGAACGCUGGCGGCAUGCCUAACACAUGCAAGUCGAACGAGACCUUCGGGUCUAGUGGCGCACGGGUGCGUAACGCGUGGGAACCUGCCCUUAGGUUCGGAAUAACUCCCCGAAAGGGGUGCUAAUACCGGAUAAUGUCUUCGGACCAAAGAUUUAUCGCCUUUGGAUGGGCCCGCGGUGGAUUAGCUAGUUGGUAGGGUAAAAGCCUACCAAGGCGACGAUCCAUAGCUGGUCUGAGAGGAUGAUCAGCCACACUGGGACUGAGACACGGCCGAGACUCCUACGGGAGGAAGCAGUGGGGAAUAUUGGACAAUGGGCGAAAGCCUGAUCCAGAAAUGCCGCGUGAGUGAUGCAGGCCUUAGGGUUGUAAAGCUCUUUUACCCGGGAUGAUAAUGACAGUACCGGGAGAAUAAGCUCCGGCUAACUACGUG
rnacentral:rRNA from 1 species